UACGUAGGGUGCAAGCGUUAAUCGGAAUUACUGGGCGUAAAGCGUGCGCAGGCGGUUAUGUAAGACAGGUGUGAAAUCCCCGGGCUUAACCUGGGAACUGCAUUUGUGACUGCAUAGCUAGAGUACGGGCAGAGGGGGAUGGAAUUCCGCGUGUAGCAGUGAAAUGCGUAGAUAUGCGGAGGAACACCGAUGGCGAAGGCAAUCCCCUGGGCCUGUACUGACGCUCAUGCACGAAAGCGUGGGGAGCAAACAGG
rnacentral:rRNA from 1 species